rnacentral:tRNA from 1 species
GGCUUCGUAGCUCAAUGGUAGAGCAGCGGACUUUUAAUCCGUUGGUUGAGGGUUCAAGUCCCUCCGGAGUCA